AAGUGAUGACGUCACAGUUCCUUCGAUACGCAUAGCAACGAUCCCACUGGGGACAAACAAAAGUAGCGUCGUCUCCACCGAACCAGUUGUCAGUGGCAACAUAUAGGAAUCGUGUACAUUUCUUCGUUUCUUCUUUGCUGUUUUCAGUGAGUGUUUUGUUUUCUCUUUGUCCUUGAUCUCGACGGCGUUGUCGUGCUCAUUACCUUACUGAGACGUCUCUUGUGACUGUAGCCAGUGUCACGGAGGAUUUUAUUGGCGUGACGAGGUAGAUCGCCGAGAUCGAGCGUGAAAAACGCUCUGCAUUAGUAGCUCCUGUAGAAUGUUUUCUGGGUUGGCGUAUCCAUGGUCAACAAAGCCAAGGUGCAAGACAGCAUAAGAGAUCUUGUAAACGAUGUGAACUCCAAAAGGUAAGCUCCUGAACAAGUGGAAAGAUAUGUGUAUUUACAAACUCUCUCUUCAUCCAUCGAUUGCCGCUAUGCAUUGCAUUUUGUCUUCACAGAUAAUCUGGACAAAAUUAUAUUGUAACUGGAGAGUGCAAUCGUGCUUGGGACCCAUCCCAAUGUCAUCACAUGGCUGUGGUGACUAGUGUAUACCUGGGAGAGUUUUUCCUCAACUGAGACGGAGUGUAGGUGGAUGGAUUAUGAGAAAUGCGAAGAUGUGGAGUUCAAGGCUAGAUGCACUUCACAUUCGGCGUGGGAUCUCGGCGUCUGGGACCUGAUAACAUCUUGGUUGGAUGGGUAAUCAAGGAUGAUACUACUCGGCACACCAAUGUACAUGUCAAUGUAGUUUUUACUUUUUCAGAGCUGCACUAUUUACGUCUUGAUGCUUACUUCGGUGCUAGUGUUGUGUGCGUGUGUUGCUACAAUGUCAUUAUCUGUAUUGUAUUCCGUCUGCUUAUACAUGUGUCUUUAUGAAGUGUUUGCCGUGGCGGCGAUGUGUCUUGUCGAUCAAUAGUGUUGUGAAACCUAUCACUAUUCAUGCUUUGCUGGCUACUCGCUCGCUCCGCGCCGUGCACGCUACUAGGUCUUGUAGUAUAUAGCUCGAUGCUUUGCAUCGAUCGCUGGUUGUUCUUGUUGCUUCUCUGUUGUUUGAGCUUGGUCCUAGAGUGAAGCUUUGA